rnacentral:rRNA from 1 species
UACGUAGGGUGCGAGCGUUGUCCGGAAUUAUUGGGCGUAAAGAGCUUGUAGGCGGUUUGUCGCGUCUGCCGUGAAAAUUCGAGGCUCAACCUCGAACUUGCGGUGGGUACGGGCAGACUAGAGUGUGGUAGGGGAGACUGGAAUUCCUGGUGUAGCGGUGAAAUGCGCAGAUAUCAGGAGGAACACCGAUGGCGAAGGCAGGUCUCUGGGCCACUACUGACGCUGAGAAGCGAAAGCUAGGGGAGCAAACAGG